rnacentral:rRNA from 1 species
GACGAACGCUGGCGGCGUGCUUAACACAUGCAAGUCGAACGGAAAGGCCCCUUUGGGGGUACUCGAGUGGCGAACGGGUGGGUAACACGUGAGUAACCUGCCCUUGACUUCGGGAUAACUUCAGGAAACUGGGGCUAAUACCGGAUAGGAAUCCUUGCUGCAUGGUGGGGGUGGGAAAGCUUCGGCGGUUUUGGAUGGACUCGCGGCUUAUCAGCUUGUUGGUGGGGUAGUGGCUUACCAAGGCUUUGACGGGUAGCCGGCCUGAGAGGGCGACCGGCCACAUUGGGGCUGGGAUACGGCCCAGACUCCUACGGGGGGCAACAGUGGGGAAUAUUGCCCAAUGGGCGGAAGCCUGAUGCAGCAACGCCGCGGGCGGGAUGACGGCCUUCGGGUUGUAAACCGGUUUCAGCAGGGGCGAAGCUUGUGGUGACGGUACCUGCAGAAGAAGCACCGGCUAACUACGUG